rnacentral:rRNA from 1 species
AUUGAACGCUGGCGGCAGGCCUAACACAUGCAAGUCGAACGAGUGGCGGACGGGUGAGUAAUGUCUGGGAAACUGCCCGAUGGAGGGGGAUAACUACUGGAAACAGUAGCUAAUACCGCAUACCAUCGGAUGUACCCAGAUGGGAUUAGCUAGUAGGUGGGGUAACGGCUCACCUAGGCGACGAUCCCUAGCUGGGCUGAGAGGAUGACCAGCCACCCUGGAACUGUGACCCGGUCCAGACUCCGACGGGAGGCAGCAGUGGGGAAGAUUGCACAAUGGGCGCAAGCCUGAUGCAGCCAUGACGCGUGUAUGAAGAAGGCCUUCGGGUUGUAAAGUACUUUCAGCGAGGAGGCGGAAAGCGAAGAAGAAGCACCGGCUAACUCCGUGCCAGCAGCCGCGGUAAUAG